rnacentral:rRNA from 1 species
GACGAACGCUGGCGGCGUGCCUAAUACAUGCAAGUCGAGCGAGGAGCUUUUAGCUCCUAGCGGCGAACGGGUGAGUAACACGUGGGCAACCUGCCCGUAAGACUGGGAUAACUUCGGGAAACCGGAGCUAAUACUGGAUAAUCUUGAUCUUCGCAUGAAGGACAAGUAAAAGAUUUAUCACUUACGGAUGGGCCCGCGGUGCAUUAGCUUGUUGGUGGGGUAAUGGCCUACCAAGGCGACGAUGCAUAGCCGACCUGAGAGGGUGACCGGCCACACUGGGACUGAGACACGGCCCAGACUCCUACGGGAGGCUG